rnacentral:rRNA from 1 species
UGCGUAGGUGGCGCCGUAAGUGGGGUGUGAAAUUUCGGAGCUUAACUCCGAAACUGCAUUCCAUACUGCGGCGCUUGAGGACUGGAGAGGAGACUGGAAUUCAUGGUGUAGCAGUGAAAUGCGUAGAGAUCAUGAGGAAGACCAGUGGCGAAGGCGGGUCUCUGGACAGUUCCUGACACUGAGGCACGAAGGCCAGGGGAGCAAACG